UCCGGGAGCUGUAAGUAAGCUUUGAUCCGGAGAUUUCCGAAUGGGCAACCCAAUAUCUUUGAUAGGAUAUUACGUUACACUGAAUACAUAGGUGUAUCGAGGAACACGCAGGGAACUGAAACAUCUCAUUACCUGCAGGAAGAGAAAGAAAAUUCGAUUCCCUUAGUAGCGGCGAGCGAAAACGGGAAAAGCCCAAAACCAAAGAGCUUGCUCUUUGGGGUUGUAGGACUGGGACAUGAGACUGCAAUGGAUAGCAGAAGCCAACUGGAAAGUUGCGCAACAUAGGGUAAUAGCCCCGUAUGCGAAAAUCCAAAUCAGCUCUACCAGUAUCCUGAGUACGGCGGAACACGAGAAAUUCCGUCGGAAUCCGGGAGGACCAUCUCCCAAGGCUAAAUACUCCCUAGUGACCGAGAGGUUACUGAACCUUAUCAAACUAAGAAUGCCGGAUAAUCGUUUUUCAGGAGUCAGACAGUGGGAGAUAAGUUUCAUUGUCAAAAGGGAAACAGCCCAGACCCACAGCUAAGGUC
rnacentral:rRNA from 1 species